GAAAAAAGAAAUAAAGGAGAGAAAUAAAGAAACAAAGCAAACGAAACAGAAAGCAGGGGAAGGAAAGAAAGAAAAAGAGAAAAGAAAGAAAAAAAAGGGAAAAUCGAAGAUGUGAAGCUUGGAAGUUUAAUAGGUAAGUCAAUUGAGCCCUUUUUACUUAAUUUUGAUAUUUUAGAAGCUUUGGACAAGAUUUUGAUGAAAUUAAGUUGAUAUUUUGAAAAGAUAUUAGAUUUUUAGAUACUGUUCAUGUUGAGUAAAAUGAUGAAAUAAGGGUUAAAUUGAUAGAAAUUCAAGUUAGAAAUGAAAUAAGGAUUGAAUUGUAAAGUAAUUCAUAAGUUUUAUGUUGAAGGGCUAAUUUGAGGAAAUUUUGAAACUAGUUAAAUAAGCUAAAAAUUUAGGAGUUAAAUUUGAGUUGGGAUGGAACUUGAAUAGAAAUAGAGUAUGAAUUAAGUUAGUAAAAUUAAUGGAAAUUGAUUUUAGGACAUAAUUGUGAAAAUGUUGGAAUUAAAGUCUAGUGCUGAAAUUAUAAUUUCCAAAAGUUGUAAAGUAGUUUAAAGUGAUAGAAUAAAGUGUUAAUUGAGAAAAAUCAGCUCAAUUGAGAGGCUAAUUGAGUAGGGACAAAAUUGUUAUUUAUUAAAGCUUAAGGGAAAAAUGGUAAUAAACAACUUGCACUAAAACAAUAUUGGACAGCAGCAGUAGACUAACUUUGAAAAAUCACCAUAAAUUGUAUAAAUCGAAUUAGAAGAUGAAAAAAAUAUGAAAUUAAAGCUUAUUGAGUCUAGUUGCUCAUAGAAGAAACGGUGUAAGCAAUAGAUUUGUAAAUCAUGAGAUAUAAUAAAUUUUGUGAUACAACAUCAGAAUGAUUUCGGGUUCCCCUGUUUUGACCUUGAAAAAUCAUAAAAAAAUUGGAUAAUCAUAAUUAUGGGCUUAAAUUUAUAUUUUUAGAAUCUUGAAUGAGUCUAGUUUUAAUAUAAAUAAACGGGAACAUCAUUCGAAUUCUGUACGAGAACAUAAUUAAUUUUUAGUGAAGAAGGGUCACAACUGUCAGACAGGAGAAUAGGGGUAAUUUUAAAGAAUAAACUGUACUUAUUGGCUAAACCAAAAAUUCUGAAAAUUUUAUGGUAAGAAGAUAUAUGAGUCUAGUUUCAGGAAAAAUUAUCUGAUCUUAAUUUAGAGUUCUAGAGCUCCAGAUAUAAAUAAUUUUAUGACUAUGACACAGAUGGACAGCUUGAAUAUUCAUAAAAGUAAACAAUAAAAAUUAUAGAUGAUGUUACUUACAAGUGUGUUAUAUACAUUAAGGAUGUGGAAUGGAGAGGAGGAGAAGGAAAAAUAUAUAUGAAUAUCCAGCUUGCAUGGCUAAUUUGCAUAUUUUAGGCUUAAAGACUAAAUUGAAUAAAAGUAAAACUUCAGGGGCAAUUUUGUAAAAAUGUCAAAAUAAUCAAAUUGAAGGGAAUGAAUUUUUUUAUUAUCUAAAUUAAUAAAUUGAAUGAAAUUUUCAAUUUAAUAUCGGGUGAAAAUUGAGAAAAUGGUAAAUUACCAAAAUGUCCCUAAAUCUUGAUAUUUCUACAAUUUCGCUAGGUAAGUUUAUGUAACUUGAAUUAUAUUCUUAAAUGCUUGAGAUUGUAUGUUAUUGAUGUGAAUAUGAUUUGAAUGUUCAUUAUAUGAAAAUUGAUGAAACAUUGAUAUAUUUGAUAAAAUGGGAAGAAAUCCCGGUUGAAUGAAAGGAAAAUUUCGAUGGAUCUCUGAAAAGGAAUUGGUGGUAAAAAGGAUCUAGCCCGGACGGGUGAUCCUAUCCUGAUAUAGCCCUCCCGAAGAAUAUGUGUAAAAUGGAUUUAGCCCGGAUGGGUAAUCCGAAUUAGGGUCUGAAUUUAGCCUGGACUGGUAAUUCAGAUCCAAGCUCAUUAGAGUAAUUGUCGUUGCAGGGGAUUUAGCUUGGACUGGUAAUCCCGACAAUACUCUAUGAGUUUAUAUUGCAGGGGAUUUAGCCUAGACUGGUAAUCCCGCUGUAAGGAUGAGGUUCGCGGGAGUGUGCUCUCUGAUAUGAAAUGUGUAAGACCAUGGUUGAAAGAUACGAUGGCAACCUGAUAUGAAAUGUGUAAGACCAUGGUUGAAAGAUACCAUGGCAACCUAAUAUGAAAUGUUUAAGACCAUGGUUGAAAGAUACCAUGGCAGCCUGAUAUGAAAUGUGUAAGACCAUGGUUGAAAGAUACCAUGGCAGCGUGACAUGAAAUGAACAAGACCAUGGUUGAAAGAUACCAUGGCAACAUGACAGAAAAUGAGUAAGACCAUAGUUGAAAGAUACUAUGGCAUCUUGUCAAAGAUAAAUAAGACCGUGGAAGAGAGACGCCAAGAUAUCUGUUGAACAACUAAUAUUCAGGUAAUAUGUACCAGAUGACAAAUAGUUAUAUGAAUUGGUUGUACAAAAUGGUUGUGUGAAAUGUUUACAGGAAUUGGUCAUAUGGAAAUAUAUGUACAAAAUAGUUGUAUGAAAUAAUUAAGAAGAUAGAUAAAUGAAAUAAGUAUAGAUACAUGGAAUUUAAUUUAUGUUAAGUUUAAUACGAACUAUUACCAAAGUAAAUAUACAUAAGAUAUAAGGAAAUGAUGAUGCAUGAAAUAUUGAUAUAACGAAAUGAAUGAUAUAUGCUUAUGAAGAAAUAGUAAGAGAAUAAUAUAUUUUGUGACAUGUACAUAUAUAAUUAUCUUUGAUAUGUUGAUAUAAGGAAAUUAUGUAAGUUGAGACUAUUAUUGAACUUAAGUGUGAUAUGUUGAGAAAAUAGGUACAUCAUUGUUGAAUUUAUAUGAAGUAUGUGCAAGUAUACUAACAAUGUUGUUGUAUGAUGCUUAGACAAGUGCUAAGCUAUUGAUUGAAUGGUAACAUGUUUAAUUAUAAGGAGCAUUGAAAUGGUAAGUACUUAGAUGAAAAUAUAAUUUAAGAUUUUGCGAAUUUUUUUUUUUGAUCCCGAUUCAAUUUCGGUUGGUUUUUAAUGUAUGUUUGGGGCUUCGAAGGCCCAAUAGAGAAACGUUAUGGUUAUUUUCAAAAUAUGAAUAAUAAAUGACUCAAAAUUAUCUGAAAAUAUUUAGUAAACUCCGGUAAUGCCUCGUACCCUAUUCCGGCAAUGGAUACGGGUUGGGGGUGUUACAAGAAGGCCCAACCGUCCAUAGAGGUUCCCAAAUCAGCCACCCAAUAUUUGGUAAAAUAUCUAAAAGUAGCCACAAAAAUUCUACAUGUGACCGUUCAAUUCCCCUCCUCAUUUCAAGUUUCUCUCCCAUGAAUCAAGCAUGAAACUAGCUAAAAAUAGCAAAGUCAUCCACCCUCUUUCCUUGAAGCAAGGGUCGACCAUAGGGAGAGAGAAUUUCAAAGAUCUCAUUUGCUAAAAAUAGCCAACCUCUUCAAUUAUAAAUACCCCCUAGCUAGUCACUCAUUACAUUCAUCCCUCACUCACCAUCUCUUCUCCCAUUUUCUUUCGUUUCACUUCCCAUUUUCUAGUCAUCAAUUCCCUCUUGAAAUAGUGUUUGCAAGGCUUUGAGAGCAACCACGUUUGGCCAUAUGAAAAGCUUCUGAGCUUGGUAGUCAUGACAAGAAGAGAAGAACGAAGGAGGAGCAAAGUGAGUUGUGCCACGGAAAUACACCAGAAACGACUUAGCA
rnacentral:lncRNA from 1 species